rnacentral:misc_RNA from 1 species
CAAGCAAGAACAGAAUCUUGCAUAAUCCAUAAGAUCAAAGUCUAGAGUUUUCUUUAUCACAUAUUGAAUAUCCCCUAACAGCGAGCACAUGAAAAAACUUCCACCAAUUAGUUAUUGUUUUGUUUGUGCCCUAUAAGUUUACAAAAUACAGUGAUUAACAGCAUUAGCCAUGAAUUGAAGAUGUAGAAACCAGCAAUGGAGACUUUGAGUUGAGUGAGCCAUGGUGAUAUCAUUCUGGUCGAGUGAACUUCCAAAAUUCAGCCACUCCUGGUUCUACGACUCCCCAUGUUUGACACAUAAUGCCGGAUAUCUUCAUUUGAAACUUGCAGUUCCCUCCAGGUGCAAGGGGUGUUCAUCGGUCUCUCCAGAAUUCGUGUUUCGCUACAUACAACACCAGAACAGUUUCGUUCCCUCAUCACAGGGCGUAAAUCCUGUCAAUGUCAGAAUUAGAGAACUCAGAGUGGUACCAUGAGUUGGAACCACUUCUAGCAUGUUUUUCCUUCUUCCUUAUCGAUCUUUUCUUCCUUGAUCUUACGACAUAGUAAGUCAUGGUUCCAAGAACCCCGGCCAUUAUUAUUCCCCCUACUGCUGUUACCAAUAUUGCAGCCCAUUCAUACUUGCGACCGACCACUAUAUAAGAAGAUGCCAUAAAAGCCACUGAAGUGCAGACAGAAGCCAACCACAUCAAUUUGUUAAUCACCUCGACGACUUUUCUUUCUGCCUUAGUUUCUCCUCUAACCAAUGUAAUCUGAACUACGACAACAGCAAGAGAUGUAAAAAGAGCAAGGGCGUUGAAGAUGAAGAAGAUCUUAAAUGAAGCAGUGCUCACAACCACAGCCACUCCAUGCUCAUCAUCACCUCCAGGCACAGUGAAAAUAGCAGCAAAGGCAACUGUGGCAAAGAGAACAGCAACGACAGUCACAGAAUUCGUUGCAUUAUUAAUCCCUUCUCGAUGGAGCUUUCUAAGCUCUUUAGCAAUUCCGUGGACAUUUUUAUUUGUCCUUUUAGUUUGUUCAAGCUGUGUGUGAAUGUCUUUCUUGAUCUGACUGACAGUUUUCCUCAACUCAUCCCUU